AUGAACGCUAGCUACAGGCUUAACACAUGCAAGUCGAGGGGCAGCAUGAACUUAGCUUGCUAAGUUUGAUGGCGACCGGCGCACGGGUGAGUAACACGUAUCCAACCUGCCGAUGACUCGGGGAUAGCCUUUCGAAAGAAAGAUUAAUACCCGAUGGCAUAGUUCUUCCGCAUGGUGGAACUAUUAAAGAAUUUCGGUCAUCGAUGGGGAUGCGUUCCAUUAGGUUGUUGGCGGGGUAACGGCCCACCAAGCCUUCGAUGGAUAGGGGUUCUGAGGGGAAGGUCCCCCACAUUGGAACUGAGACACGGUCCAAACUCCUACGGGAGGCAGCAGUGAGGAAUAUUGGUCAAUGGACGAGAGUCUGAACCAGCCAAGUAGCGUGAAGGAUGACUGCCCUAUGGGUUGUAAACUUCUUUUAUACGGGAAUAAAGUGAGGCACGCGUGCCUUUUUGUAUGUACCGUAUGAAUAAGGAUCGGCUAACUCCGUGCCAGCAGCCGCGGUAAUACGGAGGAUCCGAGCGUUAUCCGGAUUUAUUGGGUUUAAAGGGAGCGUAGGCGGACGCUUAAGUCAGUUGUGAAAGUUUGCGGCUCAACCGUAAAAUUGCAGUUGAUACUGGGUGUCUUGAGUACAGUAGAGGCAGGCGGAAUUCGUGGUGUAGCGGUGAAAUGCUUAGAUAUCACGAAGAACUCCGAUUGCGAAGGCAGCCUGCUGGACUGUAACUGACGCUGAUGCUCGAAAGUGUGGGUAUCAAACAGGAUUAGAUACCCUGGUAGUCCACACAGUAAACGAUGAAUACUCGCUGUUUGCGAUAUACAGUAAGCGGCCAAGAGAAAGCGUUAAGUAUUCCACCUGGGGAGUACGAUCGCAAGAUUGAAACUCAAAGGAAUUGACGGGGGCCCGCACAAGCAGUGGAUUAUGUGGUUUAAUUCGACGCAACGCGAAGAACCUUACCAAGUCUUGACAUCCCUUGACGAUACUGGAAACAGUAUUUCUCUUCGGAGCAAGGAGACAGGUGGUGCAUGGUUGUCGUCAGCUCGUGUCGUGAGAUGUUGGGUUAAGUCCCGCAACGAGCGCAACCCUUAUCCUUUGUUGCCAGCGGUCCGGCCGGGAACUCAAAGGAGACUGCCAGUGAUAAACUGGAGGAAGGUGGGGAUGACGUCAAAUCAGCACGGCCCUUACGUCCGGGGCUACACACGUGUUACAAUGGGGGGUACAGAAGGCAGCUACACGGCGACGUGAUGCUAAUCCCGAAAGCCUCUCUCAGUUCGGAUUGGAGUCUGCAACCCGACUCCAUGAAGCUGGAUUCGCUAGUAAUCGCGCAUCAGCCACGGCGCGGUGAAUACGUUCCCGGGCCUUGUACACACCGCCCGUCAAGCCAUGAAAGCCGGGGGUACCUGAAGUGCGUAACCGCGAGGAGCGCCCUAGGGUAAAACUGGUGAUUGGGGCU
rnacentral:rRNA from 1 species